CUUGCAGGAUAUUACUUGUUGGUUUCUGUUUUCACUCAAAUCUACUUUUUAAAAAAGAUAAAAAAAUAUUCAAAUCACCUUAAAAAAAUAUUUCAAAAAAAGUUAGAAAGAUAUAUAUUUUUAAUAAUAUCCAAUGAAAACGGAACACAGGGUAAAACUUAAUACAGUAAUGCUGAUUUUUUUACCUAAUUGUUAUUCAUUUGUCUUAUUGCCUAUGAGAUACUAAAUUGUCCUGUCGAAAAUACUGUCAAAAUUUUUUAGCUUCUACAAUAUUGGGAACUUGGAACAGUUAUGAUUUUGUUUUGGUCCUAAUUUAAACAAACUGAUCCAGAAUAUUUGGAUCAGUGUUUUGUCCUUUGAUUUUGCCAUGUGAUUAUGGACUUUCUGAUUAGAUUUCCUCUGAGUUCAGUAUUUUUGUCAUUUUACUUUUUACAUUGUAAAAGGAGGUUAAUUUGAUAGCAUUUAGUCACUGAAGAGAUGAAAUUCUUUAAUAGCUUAACAAUAGUUUUUUUUCUCUUAUAUAAGAAGAAAAAGAAGAAAAUUAUAUAAAAAUGGUUGAACUUUAGUUUAUCAACAGGGUCCAUUCUAUAUGUAGGAGUAGAUUAAUCUUAUAGCUGUUUAUGUCUAUUCAUAUCCGGGUUUAUAUUCCAUGCUAAAAUUGAUGGGAGGAUUGGAUGCCACAUUAUCUUUUUACUGUAGGUAACAGUGGUCUGUGCAUUUGCAAUUCUGUUACAUUAUGAAAUUAAAAAUAGGGUGUGGGGUAUGAAAAAAGUGUUGUCCAACCAAACCCCCUAUUACUUUUUUUUGGGGAAUAGGGUUCAAAGCAUGCAGUGGUUGAUAAUGUGAAGUAUAAAUGAUAAGUAUGCCCAGAGGUUCGCUUACCGCUAAUCUUUUGUCUAAUAUGUCAACUAUUUAUAUUGUUAUUUAUACUUGUAAAAUUUCAUUGCCUAUUUUACUUCAGAUAAGAUUUAUAUUUUGCAAUUUAAAACUCUAACAUUUAUCACUUCUCUCACACUGUGAGUUAUAUAAUGACAUGUUACAAACUGUUUAUAUCUUGUUAUUGUCUGAAAGUUAACAUUGUUUGUUGAUGGAUGAAUGUUUAUCGUAUUUUAAGAAACUUUUAAGUCAUAGUUUUAAUCAUUGAAAUUAUUAUUUUAACUGUUUUAUAUCAGCUUUUUUAGAUCAUGUUCGUUAUAUGUAAAUGUUUGUUGUAGUAAUAAAAGUACAUGUAUGUGCAAUUAGGUUUCAUAAUAUUAUUUUGUUGAAUUACUUAAUCAUCAUUGAUGAAAAUUAAACAUGGUAUGUACCUUGCUUAUCUUAUCACAAAAAAGGAAAAGUUUUUUUUUAUUUUAGCAAUGUUUUACUUAUCUAACAAGAAUAUGUUUAUAUAUUGUCUUGCAUUCAACAAGUCCAUUUCAUAUAAGACUUAUAAAAAUUGAUGUACUUUUUCAUACAUGUAUUUUUUUAUAUCUCAAAACACCUAACUAUGGUUUAGAAUACAAGCCUACUUGUUACAUUUAGGUUUACAAUUUUUGCAUAUUGCAGUGUAUAAUUUUUCUAAUAAAUUGUUUUAUUUAAACAUUUGUAAAAACUCAUUUACACAUCUAAAUGUCUAAAUGUAUUUUUGUGUGGUAAAUGUGACAUCACAAUAACUAUAUAUCCAUGAUCUGUACUCUGUCCAUGUAUAAAUUUCAUUCAUUUGAUUCAUUCCUAGAAUUAUGCACAUUGCAAUCUUUAUUUCCUAUACAAGCAAUUUAGUUAUUCACAUAUUAUAUAAAACAUUAUAAGAACUCAUCAUAUUUGAUAAUGUUUAGAAAUUGUUCAGUGAUGUUUAUGACUUUUUUGAUAAGGGCAUUGGAAAAACACAUUGCAAUAUUUUUAUUGUAACUAACAUGUUAAAAUGAAAGCAUAUCAGUAAAACAUUUUUAUGAUUCAAUGAAAUAUUUCAAUGAAUCAUUUAAAUACAAAUAAAGAGAUAUGUGGGAUAAGAUACACCUUAUCCCUAUUUGUCCGCCAUUACUGGAUAUCACACAGGUUCCCGUAAAUUUUUGACGUCACAAAACAAAAUAUCUGACGCCACAAUGUAAAAGUGAUUGUUGUAUGCGUCAAAAGUUCAAGUGGCCAGGUCAGCCGGGAUUAGCGAUAAGGUGUAUUCAUCUAAGUAUGUGUUCUUUACAAAGUUCAAGAAAGUGGAAACAUAAGUAAGAGAUAUUUCCAUUUGUACAAGUACAAAUUAUCCAUGUUAAAAUGUUUUAGUAUAAUUUGACUACAUUAUAUGCCUUCAUUAUUGGUAUGCUUAUUAUUAGAUCUUUUAGAUUAUUUAUUUAAAUAGUAAAGAUUUGUUUGAAACUUAACUUUUUCAAAAUUAAUGGUUCUUAAGAUUUUUUAUGUAAAAGAAAUAAGUUACCGUCCUUUUUUUACUUUGUGUAUGUAGAAAGUUCAAUUUAUAAAGAACAUUGCAGAAGAAACAAGCAUUUAUAUAAAAGGUUGUUUUCUUUAAAUAUUUAAAUAACUAUCUACUAAGGACUUUUAUAUGAAAGCUGUGCUCACAUAUUUUGAAAUAUUUUAACUCAUUUAACCAUUUCUUCACUGGAAUUUUCAGCAAUUUUCUGUUUUUUGACAAAAAUGUAUUUGAAGUAUACAUGAAAUUAAUAUUGAAUAUUUAAUAUUGUUCUCUUUGAAAUAAGAAAACAUUGUGAUUUUGAAGUCAUUUAAUGAUCAUCUGAUUUGUAUUGUUUUUACAUAUUUAUGAGCAGAUCUGAAUAUUUUAUACAUAUUCAUUAAAAUACAUUUAUAGAAAAUAAGAAAACUGUUUUAAAAAAUCUUUUAUAGUUAUUUUUUGGCCAGAUGGUUAUGCAUUUUAUAAAACUGCAAAAAUCUGAUUAAUAUGCUUCAUAUGUUUGGGUUUUUUUUUCAAACAAUAGGUAAAGAGAAUAUUUCCUGUGGUUGUUGGUAACCCCUGGGACCAAUUAUGUCAAACCAUAAAUAUAGAAUACUAUUUCUGUUACUUUUGAUCAUGUUUUAGACACUGCAGUAAUAGUAACAUAGGUGUAUGACGGUGCAAUCAUUUUAUUGAUAAUUUAUAUAAGAUUAUGUUGAUGUAUGUAUAUUGAUUGUCAAAUGAAUAAAUCAAAUCAACUCAUAUGAAGAACA
rnacentral:lncRNA from 1 species